rnacentral:rRNA from 1 species
AUUGAACGCUGGCGGCAGGCCUAACACAUGCAAGUCGAGCGGAGCGGCGGACGGGUGAGUAAUGCCUAGGAAUCUGCCUGGUAGUGGGGGCUAACGUCCGGAAACGGGCGCUAAUACCGCAUACUAUCAGAUGAGCCUAGGUCGGAUUAGCUAGUUGGUGGGGUAAAGGCCUACCAAGGCGACGAUCCGUAGCUGUUCUGAGAGGAUGAUCAGUCGAACUGGAACUGAGAUACGGUCCCUACUCCUACGGGAGGCAGCAUUGGGGCAUAGUGGUCGAUGGGCGAAAGCCUGAUCCAGCCAUGCCGCGUGUAUGAAGGAGGUCUUCGGAUUGUAAGGCACUUUAAGUUGGGAGGCGUUACCAACAGAAUAAGCACCGGCUAACUUCGUGCCAGCAGCCGCGGUAAUAC